UGUAUUAUAGUAAAAUCUGUACAUAGAAAUUUGAAUUCUAAAGAUAGAAUACAAC
rnacentral:tRNA from 1 species